AUAAAGGCUUUUAAAGGGUCGGUUGUGCCAGAAUUUACUGAUAAAAGCCACCAACAAACUAUUGAAAUAUAUAU
rfam:Poecilia formosa, whole genome shotgun sequence.